rnacentral:rRNA from 1 species
AUCGAACGCUGGCGGCAGGCCUAACACAUGCAAGUCGAACGAGUGGCGGACGGGUGAGUAAUGUCGGGGAAACUGCCUGAUGGAGGGGAAUAACUACUGGAACCGGUAGCUAAAACCGCAUACCAUCGGAUGUGCCCAGAUGGGAUUAGCUAGUUGGUGGGGUAACGGCUGACCUAGGCGACGAUCCCGAGCUGGUCUGAGAGGAUGACCAGCCACACUGGAACUGAGACACGGUCCAGACGCCUACGGGAGGCAGCAGUGGGGAAUAUUGCGCAAUGGGCGCAAGCCUGAUGGAGCUAAGCCGCGUGGGUGAAGAAGGCGUUCGGGUUGUAAAGGUCUUUCAGCUGGGAGGCGGUACCUGCAGAAGAAGCACCGGCUAACUACGUGCCAGCAGCCGCGGUAAUAC